GCAGCCGCCGCGGUAAUACGGAGGGUGCAAGCGUUAAUCGGAAUUACUGGGCGUAAAGCGCACGCAGGCGGUCUGACAAGUCAGAUGUGAAAUCCCCGGGCUUAACCUGGGAACUGCAUUUGAAACUGUCAGGCUGGAGUCUUGUAGAGGGGGGUAGAAUUCCAGGUGUAGCGGUGAAAUGCGUAGAGAUCUGGAGGAAUACCGGUGGCGAAGGCGGCCCCCUGGACAAAGACUGACGCUCAGGUGCGAAAGCGUGGGGAGCAAACAGGAUUAGAUACCCCUGUAGUCCCUGUCUCUUAUAA
rnacentral:rRNA from 1 species